rnacentral:ncRNA from 20 species
AGAAAUAUAUAAAAAUUAGGUGCUUAUAGCUUAAAAGAGGAAGUAGGUUAAAUUCCUACGCAGCCCCCGCUACUGUAAGAUGGAUGAAACUAUCAAAACCACUGGAAAAUUCUGGGAAGGGAUAGGAGUAAAGUGAAAUCAAGCCAGGAGACUUAUCUAAUUUUAGUUUUAGCUU